rnacentral:rRNA from 1 species
UACGAAGGGGGCUAGCGUUGCUCGGAAUUACUGGGCGUAAAGCGCACGUAGGCGGCUUUCUAAGUCGGGGGUGAAAUCCUGGAGCUCAACUCCAGAACUGCCUUCGAUACUGGAAAGCUCGAGUCCGGGAGAGGUGAGUGGAACUGCGAGUGUAGAGGUGAAAUUCGUAGAUAUUCGCAAGAACACCAGUGGCGAAGGCGGCUCACUGGCCCGAUACUGACGCUGAGGCACGGAAAGCGUGGGGAGCAAACAGGG